AUUGAACGCUGGCGGCAGGCCUAACACAUGCAAGUCGAGCGGAUGAAGGGAGCUUGCUCCUGGAUUCAGCGGCGGACGGGUGAGUAAUGCCUAGGAAUCUGCCUGGUAGUGGGGGAUAACGUCCGGAAACGGGCGCUAAUACCGCAUACGUCCUGAGGGUGAAAGUGGGGGAUCUUCGGACCUCACGCUAUCAGAUGAGCCUAGGUCGGAUUAGCUAGUUGGUGGGGUAAAGGCCUACCAAGGCGACGAUCCGUAACUGGUCUGAGAGGAUGAUCAGUCACACUGGAACUGAGACACGGUCCAGACUCCUACGGGAGGCAGCAGUGGGGAAUAUUGGACAAUGGGCGAAAGCCUGAUCCAGCCAUGCCGCGUGUGUGAAGAAGGUCUUUGGAUUGUAAAGCACUUUAAGUUGGGAGGAAGGGCAGUAAGUUAAUACCUUGCUGUUUUGACGUUACCAACAGAGUAAGCACCGGCUAACUUCGUG
rnacentral:rRNA from 1 species